rnacentral:rRNA from 1 species
ACUGCUCAGUAACACGUGGAUAACCUACCCUUGGGACAGGGAUAAACCCGGGAAACUGGGUAUAAUACCCGAUAAGCCUCGAAUGCUGGAAUGCGUCGAGGCUGAAAGCUCCGGCGCCCAAGGAUGGGUCUGCGGCCUAUCAGGUAGUAGUGGGUGUAAUGGACCUACUAGCCUACAACGGGUACGGGUUGUGAGAGCAAGAGCCCGGAGAUGGAUUCUGAGACACGAAUCCAGGCCCUGCGGGGUGCAGCAGGCGCGAAACCUUUACAAUGCUGGCAACAGCGAUAGGGGGACCUCGAGUGCCAGGUUACAAAUCUGGCUGUCGUUGUGUCUAAAAAACACGAUAUAGCAAGGGCCGGGCAAGACCGGUGCCAGCCGCCGCGGUAACACCGGCGGCUCGAGUGGUGACCGCUAUUAUUGGGUUUAAAGGGUCUGUAGCCGGCCUGGUUAGUCCUUUGGGAAAUCCGGCAGCUCAACUGUCGGGCUUCAGAGGAUACUGCCAGGCUCGAGACCGGGAGAGGUAAGAGGUACUUCAGGGGUAGGGGUGAAAUCUUGUAAUCCUUGAAGGACCACCAGUGGCGAAGGCGUCUUACCAGAACGGGUUCGACGGUGAGGGACGAAAGCUGGGGGCACGAACCGGAUUAGAUACCCGGGUAGUCCCAGCCGUAAACGAUGCUCGCUAGGUGUCAGGCAUGGCGCGACCGUGUCUGGUGCCGCAGGGAAGCCGUGAAGCGAGCCACCUGGGAAGUACGGCCGCAAGGCUGAAACUUAAAGGAAUUGGCGGGGGAGCA